rnacentral:tRNA from 2 species
GGGGGUAUAGCUCAGGGGUAGAGCAUUUGACUGCAGAUCAAGAGGGCCCUGGUUCAAAUCCAGGUGCCCCCU